rnacentral:rRNA from 1 species
GAAAACUGGGAGACUUGAGUGCAGAAGAGGACAGUGGAACUCCAUGUGUAGCGGUGAAAUGCGUAGAUAUAUGGAAGAACACCAGUGGCGAAGGCGGCUGUCUAGUCUGUAACUGACGCUGAGGCUCGAAAGCAUGGGUAGCGAACAGGAUUAGAUACCCUGGUAGUCCAUGCCGUAAACGAUGAGUGCUAAGUGUUGGAGGGUUUCCCCCUUCAGUGCUGCAGCUAACGCAUUAAGCACUCCGCCUGGGGAGUACGACCGCAAGGUUGAAACUCAAAGGAAUUGACGGGGGCCCGCACAGGCGGUGGAGCAUGUGGUUUAAUUCGAAGCUACGCGAAGAACCUUACCAGGUCUUGACAUCUUCUGCCAAUCUUAGAGAUAAGACGUUCCCUUCGGGGACAGAAUGACGGGUGGUGCAUGGUUGUCGUCAGCUCGUGUCGUGAGAUGUUGGGUUAAGUCCCGCAACGAGCGCAACCCUUAUUAUCAGUUGCCAGCAUUCAGUUGGGCACUCUGGUGAGACUGCCGGUGACAAACCGGAGGAAGGUGGGGAUGACGUCAAAUCAUCAUGCCCCUUAUGACCUGGGCUACACACGUGCUACAAUGGACGGUACAACGAGUCGCGAAGUCGUGAGGCUAAGCUAAUCUCUUAAAGCCGUUCUCAGUUCGGAUUGUAGGCUGCAACUCGCCUACAUGAAGUUGGAAUCGCUAGUAAUCGCGGAUCAGCAUGCCGCGGUGAAUACGUUCCCGGGCCUUGUACACACCGCCCGUCACACCAUGAGAGUUUGUAACACCCAAAGCCGGUGAGAUAACCUUCGGGAGUCAGCCGUCUAAGGUGGGACAGAUGAUUAGGGUGAAGUCGUAACAAGGUACC